rnacentral:rRNA from 1 species
UGGGGAAUAUUGCACAAUGGGCGAAAGCCUGAUGCAGCAACGCCGCGUGAGUGAUGAAGGCCUUCGGGUUGUAAAGCUCUGUCUUCUGGGACGAUAAUGACGGUACCAGAGGAGGAAGCCACGGCUAACUACGUGCCAGCAGCCGCGGUAAUACGUAGGUGGCAAGCGUUGUCCGGAUUUACUGGGCGUAAAGGAUGCGUAGGCGGAUAUUUAAGUGAGAUGUGAAAUUCCCGGGCUUAACUUGGGAGCUGCAUUUCAAACUGGGUAUCUAGAGUGUGGGAGAGGAAAGUGGAAUUCCUAGUGUAGCGGUGAAAUGCGUAGAGAUUAGGAAGAACCCCAGUGGCGAAGGCGACUUUCUGGACCAUAACUGACGCUGAGGCAUGAAAGCGUGGGGAGCAAAC